GAUGAAUGUUAUGAAAGUAAGAAAGCAACUCAAAAUGAUUUUUUAUUAAAUAUAACCAAGUCAAACGAGAAUAAUCGUCAAUCAAAGUAACAAAAUAUCAAAAUCCU